AAUUACGGCCAUACCACACUGACAAAGCCCGAUCUCGUCUGAUCUCGGAAGCUAAGCAGAGUUGGGCUGGGUCAGUACUUGGAUGGGUGACCGCCUGCGAAUACCCGGUGCUGUAAGCA
ensembl:rRNA 5S_rRNA 5S ribosomal RNA